rnacentral:rRNA from 1 species
GAUGAACGCUGGCGGCGUGCCUAAUACAUGCAAGUCGAGCGAACGGACGAGAAGCUUGCUUCUCUGAUGUUAGCGGCGGACGGGUGAGUAACACGUGGAUAACCUACCUAUAAGACUGGGAUAACUUCGGGAAACCGUAGCUAAUACCGGAUAAUAUUUUGAACCGCAUGGUUCAAAAGUGAAAGACGGUCUUGCUGUCACUUAUAGAUGGAUCCGCGCUGCAUUAGCUAGUUGGUAAGGUAACGGCUUACCAAGGCAACGAUGCAUAGCCGACCUGAGAGGGUGAUCGGCCAAACUGGAACUGAGACACGGUCCAGACUCCUACGGGAGGAAGCAGUAGGGAAUCUUCCGCAAUGGGCGAAAGCCUGACGGAGCAACGCCGCGUGAGUGAUGAAGGUCUUCGGAUCGUAAAACUCUGUUAUUAGGGAAGAACAUAUGUGUAAGUAACUGUGCACAGCUUGACGGUACCUAAACAGAAAGCCACGGCUAACUACGUG